CAGUAGCCGCGGGAAUACAGAGGGUGCAAGCGUUAAUCGGAAUUACUGGGCGUAAAGCGCGCGUAGGUGGUUUGUUAAGUCGGAUGUGAAAUCCCUGAGCUUAACUUAGGAAUUGCAUUCGAUACUGGGAAGCUAGAGUAUGGGAGAGUAUGGUAGAAUUCCAGGUGUAGCGGUGAAAUGCGUAGAGAUCUGGAGGAAUACCGAUGGCGAAGGCAGCCAUCUGGCCUAAUACUGACGCUGAGGUACGAAAGCAUGGGGAGCAAACAGGAUUAGAUACCCCUGUAGUCCCUGUCUCUUAUAA
rnacentral:rRNA from 1 species